UUCGUGCUCGUACUAUAUCCGUGUAACACCCCGAACCCGAGACCGUCGCCGGAGUCGAACACGAGGUGUUAACAGACUUCAAACCACUUAUUUGACAUUUCCCAGACAAGCUGUCAAUCUGCGUACUAGUCGCUUUAAAAAUCAUAUCUUAAGUUCUAAAACUCGAAAUCCAGUUCCGUAAAUUUUCCCUGGAAUUAGACUCAUAUACCUAUAUGGUAGAAUUUUUGUAGAAUUUUUGGUCGGGCCAAUUAGUACAUUUUAUUAGUCAAAGUCUCCCAUGUUACAGGGAUCGACUACACUGACCCUUGCGCAUUACGAAUUGGAUAUCUCCAUGCACAGAGCUUCAAUACUGAUGUCGUUUGUUUCUGUAGAAACUAAACUUAGAGAGGAAUCUGUACAUAUAUGGAAUGACUCCUAAUUAUCUCUGGUUAAUUUAUAAUGAAUUUCCAAAGUCGGAACAGGGAAUCCAGAAACCGUUCUGGCCCUGUCUCACGAGAACCUGAAUAUCUCUUAACAUACUGUCCAUAUGAUCGUUUCGUUACUUCUAUAUGAAAAUAGACUCAUCAAGCUUCGAUUACAUAAUUUAUUCAUCAACUAAUUCCACUUAUACUAUUUUUAGUGAUUUUUCAAUCUCACGUCACUGCUGCUGCCAGCAUCUGUUACGAAAGCAACUAUGCCCAUUUCGUGAUUUCUCCUUGAUCUAACUAGUAAUUCAUCAUACAUAUCACAAAUUAUGAUCAUGACUAGCCAUGCCAAAGGCUAAUCAUUGUCAAACAUCCCCCUACUACACUAUUGCCAUAUCAUGAAUUUUAACACCAAAAUAAUCAACCAUGACAUAUGGCAUAAAAAGAAAAGUCGAAUUACCAAGGCUUACGACCUAGCGUUAUAAAACCAAACCCAACCGACAUUUAUGCCAUUUUCGCAUGGCUAAAAGUUUACAUACCAAAGUUCAAACACAACAUAAUAGCCUAUACAUGCCGAAAUGUUCUCCUAGACCCACUAAAAAGAAGAUACCAAAAGUUGCUAGCCGGUGUGAUGACUUCGAUGACGGCCCGAUCACGCAAAAAGAGACGAGUCCAAGAAACCUAGAAUAGGUGACAAGGAAACACCGAGUGAGUAUAUAACUCAGUAAGUCAUAAGCAAUGCACUACCAUCCAUUAAUAACAUUAUCACAAGAGGAAACAAAAUGGAACGAGGCUAGUUACUCCAUCCAUACCGAACCAUGCCAUAGUUCCUCAGACCUAUCGGUUCAAUCUCAUACCAAAUCAUACAUUCACAUUCCAUAUAUUAAUCAAUAGGAUAUUUGAGGCAUUUUCAUACAUCAUUUUAUUUUCGUUACAAUCAUACAACUAAACGGCCUUUCACCUAUUCCACGAUAAAUCUUAUGUACGUGACUUCAAGUAUAUUUGUCACAUAGGUUCAAACUUACCAAGCUCAACUCCAAAUAUAGACAUAGCACCUAUUAGCCAUGAACUCAAGGUACUUACCCGAUCCGCUGUCCGUGAUCAACUCAAUAAUGUCGCACACUUAGUGCCCAUAGUGAUUCAAAAAUAUAUAUAUUAAGUCCGCACACUCAGUGCUAUAUAAUCAACUCGCACACUUAGUGCUAUAUAAUCAAACUCGCACACUUAGUGCUGAACAAUUUAAACCCGCACACUUAGUGCCAAUCUCAUGAUCAUAAAUGUUUAUACCCGCACACUUAGUGCCGAGAUCAACAACUCAAUACCUCUCACCUCUUUUCUUUUCAUUCGACAUAAUUACAUAGACAUUAUGUCUAUUUAGAUCAAUACAAAAUAUAUUCUUGAUGACUUACUUUAUGUUGGGUAAGACGGUUCCAACUCGGCUACUCGAUGAUCUUUUCUUUGCCUUUGCUUGAUUCUCCUUGUGCUUAAUCAAUAAAUCAAUUAGUUUAACCAUCUUGCUAAACAUUCAUACUUCAAUUACACAUGCAUAUGUAUGUUUGUAUAUUCGGCAAUGACAAUGGUAAUUUAGCAAACCUUAAUUUAACUUAUAAUUGUUCAUAACACAUUUAAAGCAUCCACUCCAUUCCAUCAUUUUAAAGCACAUACAUUACUCAAUAUUAUCCAAGUUCACAUUCGGCAUUUUCACAAAUACACAUGCCGAUUUCAUUCACUCAUCUCUAAUGUUAAUUAAGAAAUGCCGAAUGUCACCAACUAAAUGGCAUACACACACACUCACAUGCAUAAAAGUCAUCCACACCUCCUAUAGCUCAUUCGGCAUUCACAAAAUCAUACCAUUAGAAUUCAUGUACAAUACCGAACCUUUAGACAUUCAAACAUCUACCCUAUUCUUUUCAAAUCAUCUAAACGGCAACACUCACAUUCUAGCAUUUAAAUACAAAACAUUUAUUCAAGUAACUAAGCAAGUCCAAGUUCGGCUAUUACACAUAUAAAUACUAUCAAAUUAAAUUUUUAACUAGAUCAAACAUCUCUCAUCAACAUUUAUUCAUUAAAACAUAAAGAAAAUAAUCAAAUCUCUUCAUUAACCACCAUGGUCGAAUGCUCCAUUCACCACCCAAAUCCAAAUUUUUAACAUGGGCAAAGUAAGGAACUUAGUAACUAACUUAAAAUAAGCUAAAAUUUCAAAAUCUAACAUGAAUUACUAACCUUGUUUUAAGCUUAAGAUGGCCGAAUGCUAUAUCCCUUUUCUUCUUUAAAGUUCGGCUACUAAGGGAGAAGAUGAAACCAACAUUUUGUCUUUCUUUUGUUUUUCUAUUAUCCUUUCUUUUUCUUUUCUUUAGCUCACGGCCAUGGGGGGGGAACAACCACACAUUUUUUUGUUUUUAUUUCUUUAUUACCCAUACUCCCUAUUUUAUUUUUUUCUAACAUACCUCACUAAGCCAACAUGUUCCCAACAUGUUUCCACUCAUAGCAUGGCCGGGCACUAGCUCAAAUUUUGGGUAAUUUGACAUGCAAACCCAUCAUUUUCAUAACAUGCAUUAAUAGGCCACUUCACAUUUGCCUAGCACAUUUCUAAAUUUUCUCACAUAAGUCCUAUUUAAUAAAAUUCACUUACAAUUAACAAAAUUCAAACAUGAAAUUUUCACACAUGCAUAUAUACAUAUAAUAAGUAUCAAAUAUGAUGGCUAAUUAUUAGUAUGACUCGGUUUUGUGGUCCCGAAACCACUUCCCGACUAGGGUCAAUUUUGGGUUGUCACAAUCCGAGCUCUAAAGACCCGAUGACUACGUGUGGAGAUUAUGUCCGGGUAAGACCCGAUGACUACGUGUGGAGAUUUUGUCCGGGUAAGACCCGAUAACUUCGUGUGGAGAUUUCGUCUGAGCUAAAGGUCUCACCGAUAAUCCGAGUAGAGGUUAAAGCUAUAAGACUUCGUAAUAAGAAUUGCUUAUAAAUAUAUUCAAUGCGAAAGGUUAAACAGGUAUGUACUCCAAGUUUAUAUGUGAUCUUGAUUUGAACUAAAUCAUAAGGUAGUUAUGUGAUGCAUACGAGAGCAAUCUAUGAGACUAUUCCUAUGAUUAUGUGACAUCGGAUCAGUGUGAGAGGUUAUGUGAAAUCAUACAAUAGAUCUAUGUCACAUGAGCUCACCUUUAUGUGAAGGUUUAUCUGCCUAUUGUAUAUGAUGAGAUGUGCAUAUUCGGUAAAGGGAUGGUAUGCCUGAAGGAAGAGGGAAAAAAAAAAUUACGAACAACUAUGUUAUGAUUUGAUUGUUAUCUGUUGACACUGCUUAAAACUUACUAAGCAUUAUAAUGCUUACUCCGUUUAUUUUGUUUUUUCUGUUUUAUAGAUCUCAUUGCGAAGCUACAGGCUCGGGGAUCGUCAGCAACUAGUCACACUAUCACUAUCUACUGUUUGGUACUGCUAUGUUUUGGAUUAUCUUAUGGCAUGUAUAAAAUAGACUAGUGGCGGAAGAAUAUUUUGGUUAAUGUAUAUAAG
rnacentral:lncRNA from 1 species